GUCUUUCCUCAAAGGGAGGCUGCUUUCCUGCGGAGACUACAUUUCCCAGAAUACCCAGCGGGCCGGGAGGGCGCGCGCGGCGCUGUCUCGUAGGACCCGGCUUGAAACAAGAUGGCGGGCUCGUGGUGAGAACCUGUGAAGGAGUAGAAAUUAGUGUGCCUAGAAGCAGAUUUUAAAAGCAGUUUCUCUUCAGAACAUCUUUUUUCAUACCACUUGAUAAGCAUCUUGGAACAUCAUGGCUGUAGCUGCAGUAAAAUGGGUGAUGUCAAAGAAAACUAUCUUGAAACAUUUAUUUCCAAUCCAAAGUUGGAGUGCAGUGGCACAAUCUUGGCUCACCAUGACUUCUGCCUGCCGGGUUCAAGCAAUUCUCCUGUCUCAACCUCCCAAGUAGCUGGGAUUACAGAUGGAGCUUUAUAUUGUGUUUGUCAUAAAUCUACAUAUUCUCCUCUACCAGAUGACUAUAAUUGCAAAGUAGAGCUUGCUCUGACUUCUGAUGGCAGGACAAUAGUAUGCUACCACCCUUCUGUGGACAUUCCAUAUGAACACACAAAACCUAUCCCUCGGCCAGAUCCUGUGCAUAAUAAUGAAGAAACACAUGAUCAAAUCCUAAAAACCAGAUUGGAAGAAAAAGUUGAACCCCUUGAACAAGGACCUAUGAUAGAACAACUUAGCAAAAUGUUCUUUACUACUAAGCACCGCUGGUAUCCUUAUGGACGAAAUUUUUCUUAAAUCAGUAAAGAAAAUAAGGAAGUGCAGAGAAGCAAAAAGAAAAAUUCUCCAUGGCGAAAUCAAACUAUCACUGCCAACAGUGCAUUUCAUUUCUCUAUACUAUAUGUAUCACAGAUGUCGUAAGAAUCCGAAUCCUCCAAAAGACAGAUGAAGCUGAGGUUCCUGGGAGAAUCAAAGAGAAAUGUGCCUCAUUUGCAAUUUGAAAAAAUGCCAUCUGGUGUAUUCACUAAUAUAUAGUAAAGUAAUAAUGAUAAAAUAUCUUUUCAUAUAUUAGAAUGUGUACUUUUAUAUAUGUUAAGUAAUUCUGGAUUUGACAUUCUCAUUUAGAGAAACCUAUUACAUUUUAUUUUUCUUUUUCAAUUUUAGUCUUUCAUUUAUGUAUGAUCUCCAGUUUAGGACUUUUCCGUAGUGCCAAAGCCAUAUAUAUUCAGUAGAACAUCAAUAGGUUAUAUCAGAACACUUUAUUAUAAAAUAGGCUGUGUGUUAGAUGAUUUGCUCAACUGUAGGGUAAUGUAAGUGUUCUGAGCAUAUUUAAGGCAGGCUAGCAUUUUGAAUUUACGAUAUUUUCAGUUUACAGUGCGUUUAUUGGGAUGUAAUCCUACCAUAAGUUGAGAAACAUCUCUUUUUGUGUGUCUAGUAUGAUUUAAGUAUUUUUACAUCAUUAGCCAAACAUUGUUAGUAGUAUAAAUAUGAUUAAUAAAAAGGUGCAUGGCUUUGCUGAGGGAGAUUUUUAAAUUGCCUUUGAGAAUAAACUCAAGGUCUACCAAGAAAAUAAAUGUUAUAAUGUUUCAAUUGGCUUCUAGGAAAUAAUUAAAUUACUGAUAUUUUGAUCAGAUUUUACUAUAUCUACUAGGUCCUUUCCAUCCAUUCUUAUUAAAUUCUCAAAAUAAUCCUUUGAAGAAGGGACGUAAUCGCAUUUUACAGUGACUGGAACCCUACCAAACAAGUGGGAGAGCCAGGAGCCAAACUGUCAGGCUCCAGAGCUUUUCUCAGUAUAUCACAAUGACAAAGGGGUGGUUUUGUUUCACCGAAGAAUGUGCUUUCCUAGAGAUUUUUCUAGAUAGAACAUUAUGUAAUUUGUUUUGAGGGUUUUUUUCCUGGCUGUCUUAAAGAUUAUGCUAGCUUCAGAACACAUGCAAACAGCUGCAGCUCUGUGAUUAAAAUGUUAAUGCCACUAGACUAGUGUUAUGAGAAUGUUAAUAAUAACUCUGCUGCCACUACUAGUUAUAUAGGAUCCUUAAUAAUAUUGCUUCCCCUUCAAUUUGUAUUUAGGAGGUGAAGAAUCUUUUAAUAAGGUGGAAAGUUGCUUUAUUUAAACUUGAGCUGUAAAAUGUUUGUGAUGCAGUAAAAUUGAUGUGAAAAAUAAUUUCUCAUUCAGAGUCCAUUGUUUGAUCUAGCUCUUUUAAUAAAGGAACUCUAGUUGAAGUUUCAAGUAGCCAGUGAAGUAGGAGAGACUAAAGAAAAUAAUUAAUAAUGAUGACCUUCUGUUACCCAAAGGAAAUAUUUUUAAGUGGUUUACUUUUUCCAUUAAUUUAAAUUUCAUUUGGAAAGAUUAAAAAAACAAGUUUGAUUGAAUUUAAUAAAUCAGAAAUAUUUA